GGCGGAUGUAGCCAAGUGGAUCAAGGGAGG
rnacentral:tRNA from 1 species